rnacentral:rRNA from 1 species
UACAGAGGUGGCAAGCGUUGUUCGGAAUUACUGGGCGUAAAGGGCGCGUAGGCGGCCUUCUAAGUCAGACGUGAAAUCCCCCGGCUUAACCUGGGAACUGCGUCUGAUACUGGGAGGCUCGAGUAUGGGAGAGGGAUGUAGAAUUCCAGGUGUAGCGGUGAAAUGCGCAGAUAUCAGGAGGAACACCGGUGGCGAAGGCGGGAUCCUGGGCCAGUACUGACGCUGAGGAGCGAAAGCGUGGGGAGCAAACAGG